rnacentral:rRNA from 1 species
CACUGCUAUCGGGGUUCGAUUAAGCCAUGCGAGUCGAGAGGGUUCAGACCCUCGGCGCACUGCUCAGUAACACGUGGAUAACCUACCCUGAGGAGGGGGAUAACCCCGGGAAACUGGGGAUAAUACCUCAUAGGUUUCAGAUGCUGGAAUGCUCUGAAACCGAAAUGCUCCGGCGCCUCAGGAUGGAUCUGCGGCCGAUUAGGUUGUUGUUGGGGUAACGGCCCAACAAGCCCGUCAUCGGUACGGGUUGUGAGAGCAAGAGCCCGGAGAUGGAUUCUGAGACACCAAUCCAGGCCCUACGGGGCGCAGCAGGCGCGAAACCUUUACAAUGCGAGCAAUCGUGAUAAGGGAACCCCGAGUGCCUGAAACCAGGCUGUUCAGGUGUUUAAAAAGCACCUGGAGAAAGGGCCGGGCAAGACCGGUGCCAGCCGCCGCGGUAAUACCGGCGGCUCGAGUGGUGGCCGCUAUUAUUGGGCUUAAAGCGUUCGUAGCUGGGUUGUUAAGUCUCUUG